rnacentral:rRNA from 1 species
UACGAAGGGGGCUAGCGUUGUUCGGAAUUACUGGGCGUAAAGCGCACGUAGGCGGACUUGUAAGUAGGGGGUGAAAUCCCCGGGCUCAACCCGGGAACUGCCUUCUAGACUGCAAGCCUGGAGGUCAGGAGAGGCGAGUGGAAUACCGAGUGUAGAAGUGAAAUUCGUAGAUAUUCGGUGGAACACCAGUGGCGAAGGCGACUCGCUGGACUGAUACUGACGCUGAGGUGCGAAAGCGUGGGGAGCAAACAGG